GGCGGAACUAUUAACAAAUGAACAACACUAACAGCUGUAACAACUAGAAAAUGUAAAGAACAAAGCUAUUUACGAUUUCGGGCAAGCUGGCAUUUGUCUUCAACUCGUCAACAGAACAACACCAAAGAAAAGACGUCACCGAAAGUUAUGGCUAAUUGCCGGCGGGAACAACGUUGGAGAACAAAUUUAUAAUUCUUAAUUGAGCGAUUGGCUCCCCCCAGACAUUCAUGCCGUAUAUACGCAUGUAUAACCACGCUGAAAAAAUGGCAUGUUGUAAAAAUUCUUAUAUAUAAA